AACGGGAAGACCUUUACCAGUUCUUGCCUUCCGGGUGACCAUUAGGGAGAAAUAGUUUCCCUUUGGGGGGCAAGGGUGCCAGGUGGUGCAUGGUGUUGUUCAGUUGGUUUGGUGAGAUGUUGGGUUAAUUCCGGCAAGGAGGCCAACCUUUAUUUUUAGUUCCCUUCAUUCAGUUGGCCAUUUUAAGGAGACUGCGGGGGAUAACCGGGAGGAAGGGGGGGAGGAGGUCAAUUCUUCAUCCCCUUUAUGCCUUGGGUUCCCCACGUGUUCCAAUGGAGGGUCCAAAGGGUUGCCAACCCGGGAGGGGGAGUUAUUCGGAUAAACCCGUUUUCAGUUGGGAUGGUAGGUUGCAAUUGCCUUCCAGGAACCGGGAUUGGUUAGUAUUGGGGGUUCACCAUGCCGCGGUGAAUACGUUCCCGGGCCUUGUACACACCGCCCGUCACACCAUGGGAGUUUGUUGCACCAGAAGCAGGUAGCUUAACCGCAAGGGGGGCGCUUGCCACGGUGUGGCCGAUGACUGGGGUG
rnacentral:rRNA from 1 species